rnacentral:rRNA from 1 species
UAUGAGAGGUCCCGCCUGCCCUGUGACUAAUGUUUAACGGCCGCGGUAUCUUGACCGUGCAAAGGUAGCGCAAUCACUUGUCUUUUAAAUGAAGACCUGUAUGAAUGGCU